UCAGCUGGUAUAUGCCCGAGGAGAUUCCGAAGGUCUUGGAAAUCAGCGGCGAGCGCAGCCUCAUCUACAACUCCUUCUCCUACCCCGUGUAUUAAUCACGAUCAAUGGCACCAUCUACACUUAACCAACAUAGGUCGGUUGCAGCCCUACAUCACGUCCCUACAAAGUUUCCUUUCGUGUUAUUUGAUGACGUUGAGAGCGAUGACUUACCAAAAUUUAAGAGUAUCGUAGCCAGAAUCGUUGUUAAGUUCCCUAGACGUCAUGACAGCCAACAUUUUAUUCUACAAGACAUCACUGGGUCAAAAAUAGAAGCAAUUUCAUACCGCGAUAAUGUCCAAAGAUUUGACACCUUACUCCAACAAGGAUCUACAUAUACAUUAUAUGGAGUGGCGUUCUAUGUAAGCUGGGGGCCGUAUCUAUUUCGGAAUUUUGGACAUAGGCUAGAAUUGACCUUGGCAACUCGGACUGUUGUGGAACCAUUCCACUUGCCAAUUCAGU
rnacentral:misc_RNA from 1 species